UACGUAGGGUGCGAGCGUUGUCCGGAAUUAUUGGGCGUAAAGAGCGUGUAGGCGGCCAAGUAAGUCUGCUGUGAAAACUCGAGGCUUAACCUCGAGCUGUCGGCGGAAACUAUUUGGCUAGAGUCCGGAAGAGGAGAAUGGAAUUCCCGGUGUAGCGGUGAAAUGCGCAGAUAUCGGGAAGAACACCCGUGGCGAAGGCGGUCUCUGGGACGGUACUGACGCUGAGACGCGAAAGCGUGGGGAGCGAACAGG
rnacentral:rRNA from 1 species